rnacentral:rRNA from 1 species
UACGGAGGGGGCUAGCGUUAUUCGGAAUUACUGGGCGUAAAGGGCUUGUAGGUGGCCAACUAAGUCACACGUGAAAUCCCCAGGCUUAACCUGGGAACUGCGUGUGAUACUGGAUGGCUUGAAUCCGGGAGAGGGAUGCGGAAUUCCAGGUGUAGCGGUGAAAUGCGUAGAUAUCUGGAGGAACACCGGUGGCGAAGGCGGCAUCCUGGACCGGUAUUGACACUGAAAAGCGAAAGCCAGGGGAGCAAACGGG